CAAAAAUAUUUGGCAGAACAUCAACACGUAUUCAACACACUUUUAAUCCGGGCCAGUUGGUUGGGAUGUUGCUGGAUAAUGGCUAAUACAGCUGCAUAAACGGGACGAUUAGCACUACACCGAAUUACACUCCUAACCGCUCGUCCUCACGUAGAUGAUAUACAUCCAACACAUUUUCCAAAUUCCAAAGUCCAAAGCACCCCUUUUCGGCCCCAAAAAUAUUUGAUUUAAUUAUAGAAAAAAUACUUUGUAUUCAACACACUUUUAAUCCGGGCCAGUUGGUUGGGUUGUUGCUGGAUAAUGGCUAAUACAGCUGCAUAAACGGGACGAUUAGCACUACACCGAAUUACACUCCUAACCGCUCGUCCUCACGUAGAUGAUAUACAUCCAACACAUUUUCCAAAUUCCAAAGUCCAAAGCACCCCUUUUCGGCCCCAAAAAUAUUUGAUUUAAUUAUAGAAAAAAUACUUUGUAUUCAACACACUUUUAAUCCGGGCCAGUUGGUUGGGUUGUUGCUGGAUAUUGGCUAAUACAGCUGCAUAAACGGGACGAUUAGCACUACACCGAAUUACACUCCUAAUCGUUGCGGUUAUGCAGCUCUUAAGGCAGGCGAUAAAAUGGCUGCUGCUAAUUUCGUCGCACACAAAAACAGUGGGCAGCAUAGAAUAGACAAUAGACAAGACAAAAAUAAUGCAUAUGUAAUCUAACCUACAGAACAAAUGACUAGAGUUUUGGCACACAAAUCAAGUUUUUACCUUCCAUUGAUCCUCGCUGUGGAGCUCUGAAGAUUCUUAACAUUUAAUUUAUACUUGUUUGCACAUAUACAUAUUAUAUAUAUAUAUAUAUAUAUCGAAUACAGACACACACCCAAAUACUUGUGGGACAUAGAAUAACUUGAAAUGCAGACAGACUUGCGGAUAUAGUAUAGGAUCGUGCAUCUCUGGUGCAUUUCAAGUAUCGUUAGCCGUUUAAUAAUAAAUAUUGUACAC
rnacentral:sRNA from 1 species